AUUACAGUGUCAAUAACUCAUGCCCCACGUCAGGCUUGCCUGUAAGUGGGGCAAUAAGUUAUUGACACGCCCCACAAUGAGCAUGAAGUGGUGUGAAACACCACGAGAAUGCGAAUUGUGGGGGAGGAUUGUGGAAGCUGCGAAGCAAUUCGU
rnacentral:sRNA from 1 species